GCUAGUGUAGCAGAGCUUGGCAAAUGCAAAAGAUUUAAGCCCUUUAUCCAGAGGUUCAAAUCCUCUCUCUAGCU
rnacentral:tRNA from 1 species